CCCACCCCUUAUACCUCUACAAAUUUAAUAAUGAAAUAUUAUUAAUGAACCGACCGUCCCUAGAGCAAGUGGCAAAGGGUUUGGUGGUUGAUACCCGAGACUCAAGUUCGAAUCCUAAUUGAUUCAUAUUUCUAGCUAAGUUUAUUUCUAAAUAAAAUAAACGAAGCGGGUAGCGUGCUACCAAUCUCUCAAAAAAAAAAAAAGUUUAUUUACUAAUUAACAAAGAUAAAUAAUUAAUUAGCUAAUUAAAUUAUUAAUUAUCUAGUAUGUUUCUACAAUAUCUAAUAUUUAUGUGGAUUAAUUAACUAAUUAUUAUUUUGAAUAAUAUAAUUAUUUUAACUAAUUGAUUUAUUAAUUUAUUAAUUUAUUAAAUUACUUGUGGUUAAUUAAAUUAUUAAUUAACAAUACUCAUUGUUAAUUAUUUUAUUAAUUAAUAUUUAGGGUUAUCUAACAGUAUUCGUGUUUAAUUAGUUAAUUAAAUAAGUUAAAUUAUUAUUUAAUUAAUAUUUUUAUGUUAAUUAAUUAUAAGAGUAAUUAUAAUUUUAAAAUAAUAAUAUUUUAUUAAUUAAUAUUUAGGGUUAUCUAACAGUAUUCGUGUUUAAUUAGUUAAUUAAAUAAGUUAAAUUAUUAUUUAAUUAAUAUUUUUAUGUUAAUUAAUUAGAUAAAAUAUUAUUAUUUUAAAAUUAUAAUUACUCUUAUUCUCAUUAUUCCAAUCUAACUUCCAAAUACCAUUUUCUCUUCCAAGGAACAACCCAAUUUUCUUCUUCUUUUUUUUUUUUUUUUUUUGAGAGAGAUAGGUAGCACGCUACCCGCUUCGUUUAUUUCAUUUUGAAAUAAAAUUAGCUGAAAAUGUGAAUCAACUAGGAUUCGAAUUUGGGUCUCGGGUACCAACCAUCAAGCCCUUUGCCACUUGCUUUAGGGACGGUCGGUGGAACAACCCAAUUUUCGUCCAAAUACAAAUUUGAUCUUGUUUGUGCUUAUCUCAAGAAUUGUACCUAUACCAACAAUAAGCAAAA
rnacentral:lncRNA from 1 species